AAUAGGUGAUCCAUAAUCUUAACUUAACUUUGAUCUUUUUAAGCCUCUUGAUAAAUUCUGUUUUAAAAUGAUUCCAAUUAGCUUCCCGUUCUGGGUUGCAGAACAGUUUUGCUUGCUAUCAUGAGAGAUUUUGGACUGUGAAGGAUGCCUGUGCUGCCCCUGAGCGAGAUACACUCCUUCCACUUGAAGUUCCAGUAAGCUCUGCUUCAGCCCUGAUGCCAGUCCACAUAGAGAAGAGCAUACAAUGCCCACUUCUCGGAAGGAAGGCCUGUCAGAGCCAGUGGUUGUCCUGCUCACUGCCAACCUACAGUUCAGAAAGCAGGCGAUGGAGGACAGCUGCUGCUCUCACAGCUGGGAGGCUUGCCUGUGUCGGUCUGCUGAAAUGAUGUCACAACAUGACAGCUUGAGAGCAGAAUGCAGCCCCUAUUAAGUCAGAAUGUCCAACCCCAAGAAUCAGACAACAGACUAAAAGUAGAAUUAUAUAACUGGUGAAUCAAUAUUUAAAGAGUUGUGGCUAAAUAGGACACAGUAUACCCUCUCUCUGGACAUGUGCGAAUGUGAAGUAGUGCAUCUUUUCAUGCAUUGAAGAAUCCGAGCCUGGUAAACAAUGAUUUUAACAGAUAGCAAUGCUCAGCAUUCCCUCUGCUGCGCGAGUCACACAAAUGUGACUUUGAUCAUUCUUAAAUUACAUUUCUGCAUGCAAAAAAGACGUUUCAGCCUACUGACUGUGUCUGAUGGAGAGAUCUUUUCAAUCUGAUGACUCUUGCUGAGAUAUUUUAAUAAUUCACUUUUAAACUUUGAACAUUACCUUUGCAAAAUAUUUUCCAUUCUCAGUCGUGCGUGAACACAAAGAGGGGAAAUAAUAAUUUGUCAUUUGAAGAGAACCUUUGUACUUCCUUGGCCAUGAUGUUAGUUCAUUUUUAUGUGGUACUGUUUUUUGUUUCUGGAGGAGUGUGGAAUUAAAGACAUUUCCUUUUAAUGCAGUUUGAGAACAUAAAGAUUAUAAGUGAGACAAGGUCAUUCCAUCCAUCUUAGCUU